UACGUAGGGUGCAAGCGUUGUCCGGAAUUAUUGGGCGUAAAGAGCUCGUAGGCGGUCUGUCGCGUCUGCUGUGAAACUCAGGGCUUAACCCUGAGCUUGCGAGUGGGUACGGGCAGACUAGAGUGGCGGUAGGGGAGACUGGAAUUCCUGGGUGAUAGCGGUGAAAUGCGCAGACUAGUCAGGAGGAACACCGGUGGCGAAGGCGGGUCUCUGGGCCGUAACUGAACGCUGGAGGAAGCGGAAAAGCAUCGGGGAGCGAACAGGA
rnacentral:rRNA from 1 species